rnacentral:ncRNA from 1 species
GAUGAAUAUAGUUUAGGGAAGAGUAUGUUAUGUGACGUUUUAAGAGAGUGUACGUGUGCUGUGAGUACAUAGCGUUCAUAAUUGAAGGUAGCCCGAGAUAACUUUUGCUGAAAUGGGAAAGACUAGGUAAAAGCGUGAUUGAGCGUUAAUCAAAUUGGAGUGCUUCAUAAUACGUUGUUAUUAUGUCGAAUAUAGGUGGUACCACGGAACAUCCGUCCUAUUA